GACGAACGCUGGCGGCGUGCUUAACACAUGCAAGUCGAACGGUGAAGCGCCUUCUUUUUUGGUGGGUGUGGUUGAGUAGCGAACAGGUGCGUAAAACGUACGUAACCUGCACCCUUCUUUUAGUUAACCGAAUGAAAGUGUGGAUCAUAUGGGAGAUUAUGGGUCAUUAGCUUGAUGGGUAUGGUAAAGAUACUGCAUCGGCAGAGGAUGCGCUCGUGGCCUAUCAGCUUGUUGGUGUAGCGAUGGCCUACCACGGCGGUGACGGGUCGCCGGCGUGAGAGGGUGGACGGUCUGAGUGGGACAGAGACACGGGCCAGACUCCUGCGGGAGCCAGCAGGGAGCAAUAGUGAACGAUGGGAGCAAGCCUGAUGCAGCGACGGCGCGUGAGGGAUGGUGUCCUUCGGGUUGGGAACCUCUUUCGAGAGUGAAGCAUGUCUGCCUCGUAUGUGGGUGGUUUGACGGUAGCUGGAUAAGAAGCGCCGGCUAACUACGUG
rnacentral:rRNA from 1 species